CAUACACCUCUACCAAGGAAGCGAGGCAGGGUACCGCUACGAGGCCUUUACAGAGUUCCACUAGCUUCAAGAAACCUGCUACAGUUCUAGGAAGCGCAGUAUAGGAAUCCCCCGUCUGAAAAACCAUCACCGCAAAAUCAGCCCGAGAACCUCCCUAUACCGACCACUCCUCUACUGCCCUUGUGGUCCUCCACAAGUUUUCCUAAUUAGUCAGCCAAGGGUGUCUCAUACCACCCUUGUGGUAGCACUAUUUUCCCGGGUGGUCGCUCCAUGUUCCAAUUAACAAUAUGAUCUUAUCAUGAAUAAUAAUUAAACAACAAUAUAAUUGGAACAUGAUCAUAAUGAAACAUUAGUUUCCCAAAACCAGGUAGAGCAAUAGCAAAUCUACCCAAUAAUUCAUAUGUUUGCAAGGUGGGGUUUAAACAAUGCUAGGGAAAUCUAUUAGGUCCCAUCAAAUUAACCUGAGCAGGUCACAAUGAUUAAUAGGAACAUUAUUAGGUAAAGAAGAGUGAUCAAGGGCACAACUUGCCUGGGACUCGAGAUUCCAGGUACCAGAACGAUCUUCAGGUUCUCGGGACCUCACUGCUAUUCGUAGCAAUACAAACAAACAUGGUAUACAAAAAAUCAACAUCACACCAAACAUAAGCACAAACUGUAUAAUAUUCUACGCGUCGUUACGAGAUCGUAGGUUCGAGAACCGCUAAAUUCGGAGCUACGGUUAUAAAGUUACGAUUUUUCUAAAUAUUUAGGAGUGGGGUACAAAAGAAAUUAAGUACAUAAUUUCAAUUUAGGUUUCAUAACAAAUUAAAGCUACUAGGGGAUAAACAAUAUUAUUAUGGAUCUAAUGCAACUGGAAUGGAUCAAAACAGAGUUAAAAUAAUUUAAAUAUGAAUUAAAUAAGUUUCUGGAAUUAUUUUUAUACUAAAAAUUCUUUUCUUUACUAAGUUUACUCGAUUUAUUUAAUACUUAUGUUGCGGCCACUAUUUCCAGAAUAGCUAGGGUUUCUUUUGUAAACUUCGAGACCUGAUUGUAACAGUUUCUGUAUAGGGAUGGACGGAAGAUUAAUUUUACUAGACGAAGGGGCUUUUAGCACUUUCACACGGCCAAAGGGGUAUUUUUGAGCUACGACUGUCCGAUCAAGAGUCUUCAGACAGGAUUAGAUUGACCUAAUAAUGAAGCGGUAUACACUUCGGGCCAUCGGAUUGCAGAUCUAUGGUCUAGAUUAGACACACGAGAUUUCAACCGAUAUGCAACACGAGUCGUUAGAUCCAGGAUCCACAACCCACGCGUGCACACACCAUUCUCUACGCUUUUCCCAUCGGAUCAAAAAUCAGUGGCUCAGACUUAAAUGGGCCAAAACGUUACACGCAUGUAAUCCUGACCAUCCAUCUAAGAUCGACAGCAACCAGGCCAUCUCCAGCCCUAGCAGGACCCUAGCGGCGGAGCAGGGACGCCGCGGUGGCACCAUUGCCGGGACUCACCGAGCGGGUGCCCGAGAGGCCCAACCUUAGAACGUGAGCAUGCAGAACAGAGAGGGAAUGACAGCCAACUAUAUGGUGGAGGCCUUACCGAGGAUUUGGCACGCAAUCACCCCGGCCACGGCGCUCGGUGGACCGGAACAACUUUCGUCGACGACGGUAACCCCGGCGGCGCAAGCAGUGAUCUCUAGAGAGCC
rnacentral:lncRNA from 1 species